UGCGGGGAGCGCCACGUUUUACUCGGCGGUUCCGUUCGUCACUCCCCCGCAACUACAGCGACAGAGGGUUUUACCUCCUCCUUUCGCCUCCUCACCAUCUCCUCCACGAUCCAAAUCGAAAACCCUACGCAACACCUCCCAUGGCGUCCCUUCGUUCUCCUCCCCUCUCAAACCCUAGCUUCUCCCGACCCUUCUUCUCCAAACCCCUCCUCUCCCCCUUCCCCCUUAAACCCUACCCCAAAUCCCCUCCCCUCCCUCGCCCCCUUCGCGCCUCCCAUAAACCCUCUCCCAAAACCCGAUCCCUAACCCCUCCCGCCUCUCUCCUCCAAUCCACCGCCGUCGCCGCCGCCGCCGCCGCCGCCCUCCUCCUCGCCCGCUUCCACACCCCCUCCCCCGCCAUCGCCGCCCCCGCCCCCGCCGCCGCGGUCGAGCCCGACACGCUCCCCUCAUCCAAGGACUCUGAAACCCUAACCGACGCCGAGAAGGAGCGGCUCCUCCAGGAGAACCUCGCCUCCAACCCCGACGAUGUCAAGUCCCUGCGAGCCCUAAUGGAGGUGAAGGUGAAGUCCCAUAAGCUUCCGGAAGCGAUCGGCAUCGUCGACCGCCUCAUCGCGCUGGAGCCCGAUGAGAACGAUCUCCCCCUUCUCAAAGCCCACCUGCAGAGCUACAAUGGCGACUUCGAAGCAGCGAAGCAAGGGUUCGAGGAGCUAUUGGAGAAGGACCCGUUUCUCGUCGAGGCCUAUCAUGGCCUCGUAAUGGCGGCCUCGCAAUCCGAUGCUGAUGGGGACUUAGAUGACAUUCUUAAAAGGGUUGAAGAUGCUAUAGAGUUGUGCAAGAAGGCGAAGAAGAAGGAGCAGUUGAGGGAUUUUAAGCUCCUAGUGGCUCAAAUUAAGGUCAUAGAAGGGGAGUAUGAGGAUUCUCUUAUGAUCUAUAAAGAGUUGGUGAAGGAGGAGCCGAGAGAUUUUCGGCCUUAUUUAUGCCAAGGGAUCAUAUAUACUCUUCUGAGGAAGAAGGAUGAGGCCGAGAAGCAUUUUCAGAAGUAUAGAAGGCUUGUUCCGAAGGGCCAUCCUUAUGCCCAGUACUUUGAUGAUAAUAUGAUGGCAAUGAAGGUUUUUGGGCAGAUGGAGGAGAAUAAGAGAAAGGGCUCUUUGAAGAAUUGAGGAAUCGUCGGUUAAUCUAAUGAUGAUUUGAUAGCUUCGAGAGUGGAGUAAAGAUGCUCGAUAAUUUGGAGCUAUGGGACAUCUUUCAUUGCCUGAAGAAGAAUUGGAUUCAUUCAGGAAUUAGAUCACUUCACUGCCAGGUAUUAAUGUUGCUGUAUAUUCAUGGGCGUGAUUUGGGCCCUGCCUAAUCUCUCGCAUAUUCUGCUCUUUUUGUCGCGGUUUCGCUGCAGUAUGUUGCCGUGCCUAGAAAAUUUCUAUGCAUGCUUUGGAUGAAAUUUUCUAUUCUACAGUAAAUGUGCUUUUUUUGGAAAAA